rnacentral:miRNA from 1 species
AUUAUUUUACAGACAGAUCGC